GAAAUGCGAUAAGUAAUGUGAAUUGCAGAAUUCAGUGAAUCAUCGAAUCUUUGAACGCACAUUGCGCCCGGCAGCAAUCUGCCGGGCAUGCCUGUCCGAGCGUCAUUUCUGCCCUCGAGCGCGGUUCGGCCCCUAGCGGGCCGGCCGCCGCCCGGUGUUGGGGCGCUGCGGGCCCUCGUGCCCGCAGGCCCUGAAAUGAAGUGGCGGUCCCGCCGCGGCGCCCCCUGCGUAGUAGUAAAGCACCUCGCAUCGGGUCCCGGCGGAGGCCAGCCGUCGAACCUCUCUUUUGAUGGUUUGGCCUGGGAUCAGGUAGGGUUACCCGCUGAACUUAAGC
rnacentral:misc_RNA from 1 species